rnacentral:rRNA from 1 species
ACACGACUACAUUAGAUACCCGGGUAGUCCUAGCCGUAAACGAUACUCGCUAGGUGUCGGCCACGGUGCGACCGUUGUCGGUGCCGUAGGGAAGCCGUGAAGCGAGCCACCUGGGAAGUACGGCCGCAAGGAUGAAACUUAAAGGAAUUGGCGGGGAGCACCACAAGAGGUGGAGGCUGCGGUUCAAUUGGACUCAACGCCGGAAAUCUUACCGGGACCGACAGCAACAUGAAGGCCAAGCUGAAGACUUUGCCGGAUUAGCUG